rnacentral:lncRNA from 1 species
AUGUGAUUCAGUGAGGCUGCAAGCCGAGUUUCUGGAAACAGAGCAGUAUCCUGGGAAAAUCAUAAAAGGCUGGGUCAUAAAUAACAAGAUGAAAAUACAUUUCCUGCUCUGGAUUUGUGACCUGAACUGCCUUCCACUGCGCUGUCACUGACCACUUCUGCCAUAAACACAUGUGACAUUCAUGGGGCAGCUGUUGGCUGUGAGGAACUACUAUACCAGAUGUUUUAGCAAUAUGACCUCAGUGCACUUAAUUCAUCAACACCCUUGAUGACAAAACUGAAAACCAAAGUGGUUCAAUAAUUUUUCCAAGGCCAUUUCAAGAAGCAGUGGUGCUGAAUUUAAACCAAGCUCUGUCUUCAUGUAAAGCCCAUACUCCUCAUCACUAUUUUGUCUUAUACACACACGUAAAUUUAUCAAUUAUAAUAACAUUACUGUGAUCAUGCCUUUGCUCUUGACUUUGCUGUCUGUUAAGCCUACUUAUGCUGUUCCCUCCCACCUAUUUCUGAGUGAACUUGCCUCAUGCCCAUUCCAUCUGGAUGUCUUAUCUCUGAACUGAACUUAGCACUCACAGAUCACAACACACCAUCUCCCUGGUUCCACAUGGCUCCAACUGCAUGUAACAACCAAGAUGGAACAAUAUGCCAAGAAUCAGUGAGAUCACCAGUUAAUAUAAAAUUGUAUUUUAGUUUCCAUUUGGGUCUAAAAUGUCAAAGAAAUUAGAAGAAACAUUCUUCGUGAUCAUUACUGGGGAGAUCAGCAUAAUCAUUUCAAAUUACUUAAAUGAUGGCUACUCUUUAACACAUGAGCACAGUAACUUCUCUAUGUUGAAUUUUUUCUGCAUAUUUUGUUUAGCAAGGCCCAUCUGUCCUUCACAUUCAUCUUCAGUCUGGUUUGGUUUCAUUUUAACAUAUAAACCAGGUCUUCUAUCAGUGGUAAAAGAAAAAGAGCAAAGUUAUAUGCAAUGCCUACUUUCUAAGAUAAAAGAAAAAUGAGGGUUAAGGAAAGGACUUCAAAGUUAAUUUACCAAAAUCCAACUACAUUCUUGACCCUUGAAGACCCCAAUAAGGCAUUAAUUACAAACGGAUUAACACUUUUCUCCAUUGUAACAAUGGAGUCCUCUGUCAAUGGAAGGUGAUAACAAUAUUUGCAUUUAUCCAUUAGCAUGGGAUUCAGAGAUUAUGAGAAAGGUCUUAACAUUUUUCCUAAAUGAAGUUAAGCAUCUCCAAUACUGGUACGGAGCUGCUUUCACAGUCUAAAAAGAACUGAACAAGUUUAAAACCAGCAACUUCUCACAUAGCGCUCUUUCCUAAGCUAGUGAGAGUGUGAGUGUGUAGACUGGCAGAAUUUAUCCUGCUGCCAAGUAGGUGAUGAUGCUGCAUCAGCAACUGAUUCCAAUGAUACUGUGCAAAAAACUAUUUUCUUAUUCUUCUGCUCUGUAUCUUCAGCUUUCCCCUUUUCUGCUGCCCACUCAGAUGACUGUCAAAUUUCAGAGUGGAUGCAAUGGCUCAGUGAGAGAGACAUAAAUAAACACUAUUCCUUCUCUGAAUGAUUCAACAUGUUGUACCCAUGUUGGGCUAGAGAAUACCAUUAGCAUGGUAAAUUUUAGUUAUAAACAUUUAGAGGGGUUUUUUUCUUAACUAAAUUCUGACACCAACUCUACUAUUUAUGCCUUAAAAUAAGAUUUUGUACUUUUUGUGGAAUGGCAUGACUCUUUGAAAAAUGUAGUAAAUAUAAGGAUACUUGGGCCAGGGAAAUUUUUUAAAAAGUAUUUAUGAAUAGUACACAUGCUCAGUCGAAUUUUUCUUACUCUUUCAAGUUUGUCCUACCAUCUAGGUCAAGUCAGUAAUGCUGCCAAAAUCUUUAAGGAAUCUUUUCACAUGCUGAUAACCUUGAAAGAUGAAUGGAAGCCUAUCUAAGAAUUUUCCUUAAAGGCUCAUUUUUCCUCCAUGAAAAGGAUAUUUGACUGAAAAUAAAGCAGAGUGGUCAAAAGUGCCAAAUUCGACCACAAGGCUGUCACUCUUUGAACUAGCACUCAGGUGGCCUGAGGUGUGA